rnacentral:rRNA from 1 species
GAGGUAGCAUAAUCAUUAGUUUUUUAAUUGAAGGCUGGAAUGAAUGGUUGGACAAGAAAUAAUCUGUCUUAAUUAAAGAUAUUGAAUUUAACUUUUGAGUGAAAAGGCUUAAAUGAUCUGAGGGGACGAUAAGACCCUAUAAAACUUUAUAUUUAAGAGUAGAAGUUAGUUUUAUUUAAAGGUUGCUAUUUAUAAUAUUUGGUUGGGGCGACAGGGAUAAAAGAGAGUAACUGUCCUUUUUUUAUUACAAUAAUAUUUGGGUCGACGAUCCUAAAAAGGAUAGAAGAUUAAGUUACUUUAGGGAUAACAGCGUGAUUUUCUUUGAGAGUUCUUAUCGACAGGAAAGUUUGCGACCUCGAUGUUGAAUUAAAAGUUCUUUGUGGAGUAGAAGCUAUAAUAGAAGGUCUGUUCGACCUUUAAAAUUUUACAUGAUUUGAGUUCAGACCGGUGUGAGCCAGGUUGG